CGCGCUGCAUCCCUGCGUUCCCCUGGGCGCGUGGUGCUCCCGGUCGCGAGCACAUGGAAGUGCGCUCUAGAUCUGCCUGAGACGCGCGACUCCACCAUCAUCAUUAUUAUCUUUAAUAAUAAUGAUACUAAACGGAAUAUAAACCCAGAAAGCGCGCGACGAGCAGCCCGAACGAGUGACUAUUCAUUCUGGAGCUGCACCUGUUGACCAGCGCACAAGUCCUUCCCAUUUUACGUCUUGGAUUUACGACUCUCAGCUGUAGAGAGGACCUUUCACUCGGCCUCUGUGGCAGAGCGGCAACAGCUGUGACGACUUCGUGUAAAAAGACGACAAGAGGUCGCUCGGCUCCUCUCUGCACCUUGAACCUGAUAGCAGCCCGUUUUGACACGGUGACUCCAUCAGCUGCUGCUGCUGCUGCUGCAGCUGCAGGACCCCUCGCCUUCCACCCGAACGCCACCACAGCUUCUGCACUAAUAAGACAACCGAAGAUUCUGGUGAGAAUAGGACGGAUGCAAAGAUGGAAGCAGCCAGUGGUGGAUUCAGUUUCACAGCAUCUUUCUGAAGCACAAACUCUGAGUCACAAGGACGCUCAUGUGGGUUUUAAUAGUAUCUACUUCCCUCCUUCUUUUAUAAUUUUUUUCAAGAGGACACAGAUACAGCCUCAAUGGGCCCCUUGCGGUUGAUGGUGUUUGGGAAGUACCUAGUGUUACAACUGUCACGGUGCUCUUAAAGGGGCAGCAGAUCAUUUUACACUUUGGGUGUUUUUCUAUACUUCUGUUCAACCUGAGCUAUGUUUGUUUGACUCACAAAAGAUAUGAUGCAUUUCAAAUAAAAUAAAGCCACAAGGUGAGGAAGAAGAUGAA